GCAGUGCUCCGGUUCUAUCGCUGGUAUUUUAUACGAGAGGAAAGUCCGGGCAGCACAGAGCACUCCACUUGCGAAACUACAAGCUAUUGGUGACAGUAGGUCUAAGGCAGAAGAAAACAACCGCCUCACAAGACUACUUGAUGAGGUAAGGGUGAGAAGGUGGUGUAAGAGACCACCAGCCGGUGGGUGAUCACCGGGCUGUGCCUGCUGGAGGCUGUAAGUUCAAGUAAACCAUCGUCAUGAUAGGGUUGCUCGCCCGAUAGGCAUAGCCUUACGAUGGAGGGUAGAACGCUGAAACCUCAAGGUGACUUGAGGGUUAGAUAAAUGAUGGAACACCUGUUUUAUCGAGAGGCAUAACAGGCUACAGAACCCGGCUUAUAGGAGCACUGCUCUC
rnacentral:RNase_P_RNA from 1 species